rnacentral:tRNA from 1 species
UCCCUUGUGGCCCAGUUGGUAGAGAAUCUGCCUGCAAUGCAGGAGACCUGGGUUCAAUCCCUGGGUUGGGAG